UAUGACCUAAAGAAAGGCUGUGCAAAGAUCUUUGACCCCGUUUGUGGCACGGACAACAUCUUAUACAGCAAUGAGUGUUUGUUGUGCUUUCAGAACCUGCAAAGGAAAACUAAUGUGCGCAUAAAGAGAAGGGGAACGUGUCAAGAGCCUUCCCCACGUUCCGACUCCACUCAAAACUAAAAAUCCACCACUGUGCUGGAGAAGACAGCACAAAGAUGUCUUUAGCCUAUAUUAAACCUCUAAUAAAAUGGAAGCAUUUCAA